rnacentral:snoRNA from 1 species
UUCUAGCAAUGAUGAAAAUAAAAGUCAACAGUUAUCCCUGUCUUAACACUCCGUGUGGACUUUCAUAAUUAGACUCUGAGCUAAAU